rnacentral:misc_RNA from 1 species
UUUCCGUAGGUGAACCUGCGGAAGGAUCAUUAUUGAAUAAACCUGAUGUGGUUGUAGCUGGCCCUUUCGGGAGCAUGUGCACACCCGUCGUCUUUAUCUUUCCACCUGUGCACCUUUUGUAGACCUGGAUGUAACACUUUCCGAGGCAACUCGGUCGGGAGGAAUGCUGUCAGCUUUCCUUGAAUGUCCAGGCCUAUGUUUUCAUAUACCCCAAAGAAUGUAACAGAAUGUAUUAUUGGGCCUUGUGCCUAUAAACUAUAUACAACUUUCAGCAACGGAUCUCUUGGCUCUU